UACAUAGGGUGCGAGCGUUAAUCGGAAUUACUGGGCGUAAGGCGUGCGUAGACGGCUAUCUAAGUCGGGUGUGAAAGCCCCGGGCUCAACCUGUGAAUUGCAUUCGAGACUGAAUAGCUAGGGUACGGUAGAGGGAAGUGGAAUUUCCGGUGUAGCGGUGAAAUGCGUAGAUAUCGGAAGGAACACCAGUGGCGAAAGCGACUUCCUGGACCAGUACCGACGUUCAGGCACGAAAGCGUGGGGAGCAAACAGG
rnacentral:rRNA from 1 species